rnacentral:rRNA from 1 species
UGGGGAAUAUUGCACAAUGGGCGCAAGCCUGAUGCAGCCAUGCCGCGUGUGUGAAGAAGGCCUUCGGGUUGUAAAGCACUUUCAGCGGGGAGGAAGGCGGUGAGGUUAAUAACCUCACCGAUUGACGUUACCCGCAGAAGAAGCACCGGCUAACUCCGUGCCAGCAGCCGCGGUAAUACGGAGGGUGCAAGCGUUAAUCGGAAUUACUGGGCGUAAAGCGCACGCAGGCGGUCUGUCAAGUCGGAUGUGAAAUCCCCGGGCUCAACCUGGGAACUGCAUUCGAAACUGGCAGGCUAGAGUCUUGUAGAGGGGGGUAGAAUUCCAGGUGUAGCGGUGAAAUGCGUAGAGAUCUGGAGGAAUACCGGUGGCGCAGGCGGCCCCCUGGACAAAGACUGACGCUCAGGUGCGAAAGCGUGGGGAGCAAACAGG